rnacentral:rRNA from 1 species
GGGUUGUGAGGUUAAGCGACUAAGCGUACACGGUGGAUGCCCUGGCAGUCAGAGGCGAUGAAGGACGUGCUAAUCUGCGAUAAGCGUCGGUAAGGUGAUAUGAACCGUUAUAACCGGCGAUUUCCGAAUGGGGAAACCCAGUGUGUUUCGACACACUAUCAUUAACUGAAUCCAUAGGUUAAUGAGGCGAACCGGGGGAACUGAAACAUCUAAGUACCCCGAGGAAAAGAAAUCAACCGAGAUUCCCCCAGUAGCGGCGAGCGAACGGGGAGCAGCCCAGAGCCUGAAUCAGUGUGUGUGUUAGUGGAAGCGUCUGGAAAGGCGCGCGAUACAGGGUGACAGCCCCGUACACAAAAAUGCACAUGCUGUGAGCUCGAUGAGUAGGGCGGGACACGUGGUAUCCUGUCUGAAUAUGGGGGGACCAUCCUCCAAGGCUAAAUACUCCUGACUGACCGAUAGUGAACCAGUACCGUGAGGGAAAGGCGAAAAGAACCCCGGCGAGGGGAGUGAAAAAGAACCUGAAACCGUGUACGUACAAGCAGUGGGAGCACGCUUAGGCGUGUGACUGCGUACCUUUUGUAUAAUGGGUCAGCGACUUAUAUUCUGUAGCAAGGUUAACCGAAUAGGGGAGCCGAAGGGAAACCGAGUCUUAACUGGGCGUUAAGUUGCAGGGUAUAGACCCGAAACCCGGUGAUCUAGCCAUGGGCAGGUUGAAGGUUGGGUAACACUAACUGGAGGACCGAACCGACUAAUGUUGAAAAAUUAGCGGAUGACUUGUGGCUGGGGGUGAAAGGCCAAUCAAACCGGGAGAUAGCUGGUUCUCCCCGAAAGCUAUUUAGGUAGCGCCUCGUGAAUUCAUCUCCGGGGGUAGAGCACUGUUUCGGCAAGGGGGUCAUCCCGACUUACCAACCCGAUGCAAACUGCGAAUACCGGAGAAUGUUAUCACGGGAGACACACGGCGGGUGCUAACGUCCGUCGUGAAGAGGGAAACAACCCAGACCGCCAGCUAAGGUCCCAAAGUCAUGGUUAAGUGGGAAACGAUGUGGGAAGGCCCAGACAGCCAGGAUGUUGGCUUAGAAGCAGCCAUCAUUUAAAGAAAGCGUAAUAGCUCACUGGUCGAGUCGGCCUGCGCGGAAGAUGUAACGGGGCUAAACCAUGCACCGAAGCUGCGGCAGCGACACUAUGUGUUGUUGGGUAGGGGAGCGUUCUGUAAGCCUGUGAAGGUGUGCUGUGAGGCAUGCUGGAGGUAUCAGAAGUGCGAAUGCUGACAUAAGUAACGAUAAAGCGGGUGAAAAGCCCGCUCGCCGGAAGACCAAGGGUUCCUGUCCAACGUUAAUCGGGGCAGGGUGAGUCGACCCCUAAGGCGAGGCCGAAAGGCGUAGUCGAUGGGAAACAGGUUAAUAUUCCUGUACUUGGUGUUACUGCGAAGGGGGGACGGAGAAGGCUAUGUUGGCCGGGCGACGGUUGUCCCGGUUUAAGCGUGUAGGCUGGUUUUCCAGGCAAAUCCGGAAAAUCAAGGCUGAGGCGUGAUGACGAGGCACUACGGUGCUGAAGCAACAAAUGCCCUGCUUCCAGGAAAAGCCUCUAAGCAUCAGGUAACAUCAAAUCGUACCCCAAACCGACACAGGUGGUCAGGUAGAGAAUACCAAGGCGCUUGAGAGAACUCGGGUGAAGGAACUAGGCAAAAUGGUGCCGUAACUUCGGGAGAAGGCACGCUGAUAUGUAGGUGAAGUCCCUCGCGGAUGGAGCUGAAAUCAGUCGAAGAUACCAGCUGGCUGCAACUGUUUAUUAAAAACACAGCACUGUGCAAACACGAAAGUGGACGUAUACGGUGUGACGCCUGCCCGGUGCCGGAAGGUUAAUUGAUGGGGUUAGCCGCAAGGCGAAGCUCUUGAUCGAAGCCCCGGUAAACGGCGGCCGUAACUAUAACGGUCCUAAGGUAGCGAAAUUCCUUGUCGGGUAAGUUCCGACCUGCACGAAUGGCGUAAUGAUGGCCAGGCUGUCUCCACCCGAGACUCAGUGAAAUUGAACUCGCUGUGAAGAUGCAGUGUACCCGCGGCAAGACGGAAAGACCCCGUGAACCUUUACUAUAGCUUGACACUGAACAUUGAGCCUUGAUGUGUAGGAUAGGUGGGAGGCUUUGAAGUGUGGACGCCAGUCUGCAUGGAGCCGACCUUGAAAUACCACCCUUUAAUGUUUGAUGUUCUAACGUUGACCCGUAAUCCGGGUUGCGGACAGUGUCUGGUGGGUAGUUUGACUGGGGCGGUCUCCUCCUAAAGAGUAACGGAGGAGCACGAAGGUUGGCUAAUCCUGGUCGGACAUCAGGAGGUUAGUGCAAUGGCAUAAGCCAGCUUGACUGCGAGCGUGACGGCGCGAGCAGGUGCGAAAGCAGGUCAUAGUGAUCCGGUGGUUCUGAAUGGAAGGGCCAUCGCUCAACGGAUAAAAGGUACUCCGGGGAUAACAGGCUGAUACCGCCCAAGAGUUCAUAUCGACGGCGGUGUUUGGCACCUCGAUGUCGGCUCAUCACAUCCUGGGGCUGAAGUAGGUCCCAAGGGUAUGGCUGUUCGCCAUUUAAAGUGGUACGCGAGCUGGGUUUAGAACGUCGUGAGACAGUUCGGUCCCUAUCUGCCGUGGGCGCUGGAGAACUGAGGGGGGCUGCUCCUAGUACGAGAGGACCGGAGUGGACGCAUCACUGGUGUUCGGGUUGUCAUGCCAAUGGCACUGCCCGGUAGCUAAAUGCGGAAGAGAUAAGUGCUGAAAGCAUCUAAGCACGAAACUUGCCCCGAGAUGAGUUCUCCCUGACUCCUUGAGAGUCCUGAAGGAACGUUGAAGACGACGACGUUGAUAGGCCGGGUGUGUAAGCGCAGCGAUGCGUUGAGCUAACCGGUACUAAUGAACCGUGAGGCUUAACCUUACAACGCCGAAGCUGUU